rnacentral:rRNA from 1 species
GGACUACAGGGGUAUCUAAUCCCGUUCGCUCCCCUGGCUUUCGUGUUUGAGUGUCAGGAACGCGCCAGUGCACUGCCUUCGCCUUUGGUGUUCCCCAUGAUAUCAACGGAUUUCACCCCUCCACCAUGAGUUCCAUGCACCUCUCGCGCCCUCUAGCCCUACCGUUUCCCCUGCGGACCGUAGGUUGAGCCUACGGAUUUUACAGGAGACUAAUAGGGCCACCUAGACACCCUUUACGCCCAGUGAUUCCGGAUAAUGCUUGGGGCCUCUGUAUUACCGCGGCUGCUGGCAC